rnacentral:lncRNA from 1 species
CCCACAGGGUACCCUCCACAGGUCGCAAGGUCGCUUUUAAAUUCGUCGAGAGGUCGUUUUUAAGGGAAAUGUACAGGUCGCAGGUCGUUUUUCCCAACACAUAGGACGGAAGUCGGUCGGAGGUCGUUUUUUUCCAAAUUUCACAGGUCGCAGGUCGUUUUUAGAAGGCCCUCAGGUCGAAAGUCGCCUCUAAAAAUCCCAGAGGUCGCAGGUCGUUUUUGACCCUGCAGGAGCCUC